rnacentral:tRNA from 1 species
GAACUCGUAGCUCAGUUGGUUAGAGCGUUCGCUUGACGUGCGAAAGGUCACAGGUUCGAGCCCUGUCGAGUUCACAA